UACGUAGGGUGCAAGCGUUGCCCGGAUUUAUUGGGCGUAAAGGGCGCGCAGGCGGCCCGGCAAGUCGCAUGUGAAAUCUCCCGGCUCAACCGGGAGGGGUCGGGGGAUACUGCCAGGCUGGAGCGAGGUAGGGGGCAGUGGAAUUCCCGGUGUAGUGGUGGAAUGCGUAGAGAUCGGGAGGAACACCAGUGGCGAAGGCGACUGCCUGGACCUUUGCUGACGCUGAGGCGCGAAAGCGUGGGGAGCGAUCCGG
rnacentral:rRNA from 1 species